rnacentral:rRNA from 1 species
AACAUUUCUGGUUGAAAGAGUUUUUAAUAUGAUCAGUACAGCCUGCCCUAUGCAAUCAUGUAAAUGGCCGCGGAAUCCGUAACUGUGCGAAGGUAGCAUAAUUCCCGCGUCUAUUAAUUGUAGACUUUGCGAAUGGUUUAACGUUACUUUGGUUGUGUCAAACUUUGUUGAUUAUAAAUUUUUUUUAAAGUUAAGAAACUUUAAUGUGCUUAAAAGACGAGAAGACCCCGUGAAACUUUAUUUUAGGUAGGGACUUUUUCCUUAUUGAGAUUUAGUUGGGGUAACGUUUUCUUAGACAAAAAAGAAAAAGGUGGUUAAACAUAUAUACUAAUUGUUUUGAUCCAAAGCUUUUUUGAUUGUGGAUGAAGUUACUCCGGGGAUAACAGGAUUAUUUUUUUUGGUUAGGCCUUAUUUCAAAAAAAGUUUGUUACCUCGAUGUUGGCUUAAGGGGAGCUUCUCCGGUGUAGCCGUUGGAGUGAGUGGGACUGUUCGUCCUUUAAAUGCUUACA